AGUCGCUGGAGCCCCAGACUGGUGUUCUUAAUAAGUAAUACUUAUAGCACAUCUUCCUCACAUCUGAUAUGACGUGAUUGACGUGGACCAAUACAAACGUUACUUCCAGUUUCUGGCAUGGCACUCGGAUUGUUCAUCUCGCCAUCUGGUCACAGGGCAACUCGUAGAUACAUUAGGUACAUUUGCCAAGUUGCCAGCUAGUAGUUGUCGGUUUUGCGACAGAUGUGGUCAUUUCACUGCCACUUUUGGCCUGUCAACUUUGAAACAUAAUUGACAACAUUUCAUAUUUUUAAGUGCUACUUUUUAUUGUCUACAUCGAAAAAACGCACUAAUUUAAGGUACCCUUUUUUUUUUUUUUUGCGUAAGUCCUAUAUUUUGGUCAUAAAAUCUAUUUAUAUUGUUACUUGAAACAAAAGGGCGUAUGUAACAAACGUCAUUUGUGAGAAUCGUGACGUCACGGAUCUGUUUCAUACACUGGAAAAAACGUUGAAUUAAUUUACUGUCACAAACAAUGACAAUGACAAUGUCAACCCAAUCGGAAGUCAUUUCUUUGCUUGUAGUGGCAGAACUGAAGCAGCUGGGUGACGUCAAUUUCCGUUUUAACUAUUUUUAGAGAUUUUGAAUACAAAAAAUCGUAAAAAAUAUAUAAAA